rnacentral:rRNA from 1 species
AGUGGGGAAUAUUGGACAAUGGGCGCAAGCCUGAUCCAGCAAUACCGCGUGUGUGAAGAAGGCCUGAGGGUUGUAAAGCACUUUCAAUUGGGAGGAAUACCUGUGGGUUAAUAUCCCGCAGAUUGACAUUACCUUUAGAAGAAGCACCGGCUAACUCCGUGCCAGCAGCCGCGGUAAUACGGAGGGUGCAAGCGUUAAUCGGAAUUACUGGGCGUAAAGCGUUCGUAGGCGGUUGCCUAAGUUAGAUGUGAAAGCCCCGGGCUUAACUUGGGAACGGCAUUUAAAACUGGGUAACUAGAGUUUAGGAGAGGCAAGUGGAAUUUCAGGUGUAGCGGUGAAAUGCGUAGAGAUCUGAAGGAACACCAGUGGCGAAGGCGGCUUGCUGGACUAAAACUGACGCUGAGGAACGAAAGCAUGGGUAGCAAACGGGAUUAGAUACCCCGGUAGUCCAUGCCGUAAACGAUGUCAACUAACUGUUGGGUACUUCGGUACUUAGUGGUGGAGCUAACGUA